GUAGAGAAUACCAAGGCGCUUGAGAGAACUCGGGUGAAGGAACUAGGCAAAAUGGUGCCGUAACUUCGGGAGAAGGCACGCUGAUAUGUAGGUGAAGUCCCUCGCGGAUGGAGCUGAAAUCAGUCGAAGAUACCAGCUGGCUGCAACUGUUUAUUAAAAACACAGCACUGUGCAAACACGAAAGUGGACGUAUACGGUGUGACGCCUGCCCGGUGCCGGAAGGUUAAUUGAUGGGGUCAGCGCAAGCGAAGCUCUUGAUCGAAGCCCCGGUAAACGGCGGCCGUAACUAUAACGGUCCUAAGGUAGCGAAAUUCCUUGUCGGGUAAGUUCCGACCUGCACGAAUGGCGUAAUGAUGGCCAGGCUGUCUCCACCCGAGACUCAGUGAAAUUGAACUCGCUGUGAAGAUGCAGUGUACCCGCGGCAAGACGGAAAGACCCCGUGAACCUUUACUAUAGCUUGACACUGAACAUUGAGCCUUGAUGUGUAGGAUAGGUGGGAGGCUUUGAAGUGUGGACGCCAGUCUGCAUGGAGCCGACCUUGAAAUACCACCCUUUAAUGUUUGAUGUUCUAACGUGGACCCGUGAUCCGGGUUGCGGACAGUGUCUGGUGGGUAGUUUGACUGGGGCGGUCUCCUCCUAAAGAGUAACGGAGGAGCACGAAGGUUGGCUAAUCCUGGUCGGACAUCAGGAGGUUAGUGCAAUGGCAUAAGCCAGCUUGACUGCGAGCGUGACGGCGCGAGCAGGUGCGAAAGCAGGUCAUAGUGAUCCGGUGGUUCUGAAUGGAAGGGCCAUCGCUCAACGGAUAAAAGGUACUCCGGGGAUAACAGGCUGAUACCGCCCAAGAGUUCAUAUCGACGGCGGUGUUUGGCACCUCGAUGUCGGCUCAUCACAUCCUGGGGCUGAAGUAGGUCCCAAGGGUAUGGCUGUUCGCCAUUUAAAGUGGUACGCGAGCUGGGUUUAGAACGUCGUGAGACAGUUCGGUCCCUAUCUGCCGUGGGCGCUGGAGAACUGAGGGGGGCUGCUCCUAGUACGAGAGGACCGGAGUGGACGCAUCACUGGUGUUCGGGUUGUCAUGCCAAUGGCACUGCCCGGUAGCUAAAUGCGGAAGAGAUAAGUGCUGAAAGCAUCUAAGCACGAAACUUGCCCCGAGAUGAGUUCUCCCUGACCCUUUAAGGGUCCUGAAGGAACGUUGAAGACGACGACGUUGAUAGGCCGGGUGUGUAAGCGCAGCGAUGCGUUGAGCUAACCGGUACUAAUGAACCGUGAGGCUUAACCUUACAACGCCGAAGGUGUUU
rnacentral:rRNA from 2 species